UUUCCACAGGCAGGAAGUGCUGUGUGAUGGCUCUGGGGGUGUGUGUGUACCCGGCUGCUCCCCCGGGUGGCUUCUGAGCCUGUUGCCUCAUUUCAGCCAAGUCUGGCAGGAGACAGAGGUUCAAAGAUGUCCACUCCCUACCAGGUAGUGAAGAUGCAAAGCCAUGAGCACUGCUGAGGUAGAGGGAUGCAGGGAAGAGUUACUGGCAGAGCCCCUGGUCCCUUUGAGGGUUGUCCUUGGGCAUUGCCUGCUCCUCUGGCCAUCCAGUUCGAGGGAUCCCGAGGGAGAGGGAGAGACCAGGAGAGAGGCUGGUUCUGACCCUGGCACUACGUGACACCACCUUGGAGUGAAAACCAGCUCCUCUGCUCCCUGCAGCCAACACCAGCACAUCCCGGCCUCAGCACACGCCAAAACCCCCCAGCAAAACAACCCAUGACAACAACCCAUACGUCGACUGAGCCACAUCCCCCUGGCUCCCCUCCCACAGCUCAGGAGGGACCAGACACCGGGAUAAACGCUGGUGCAGCCCAGAAAUUCAUCUGGUUUUAAGGCUGAGCCCCAGGUGGGGGUGGCCAGGAGCCCCACAACAACAUCCUGGGCAAGCUGUGCCGCUACCUGUGGGAAUGGGGCCACCAAGCAUCCUGCUCCUGGCAGUGGGGUUCACAAACCCUCUGCAGUUCUCCCAGCUUCUCAGACAUGUUAAUGAAAGAUCAGUUUCCAGGCACAGCUCUCGCUGGAGAUGACAGCAUUAGAGGUGCAUCUGUUUCCACUAAGCACCAGUCUCGUGCUGGGUUUGUUUGGCCUGUUUGUGGUGGGGAAGAGUGGCUUUCAGCACUCAGAGAUGUCUCAUGUCUGGGAGAA